rnacentral:rRNA from 1 species
UACGGAGGGUGCAAGCGUUAAUCGGAAUUACUGGGCGUAAAGCGCACGUAGGUGGUUUGUUAAGCCAGCUGUGAAAUCCCCGGGCUCAACCUGGGCACUGCAGUUGGAACUGGCAAGCUAGAGUAGGGUAGAGGGGUGUGGAAUUCCAGGUGUAGCGGUGAAAUGCGUAGAUAUCAAGUGGAACACCAGUGGCGAAGGCGAGUCUCUGGACAUUUCCUGACGCUGAGGCACGAAAGCCAGGGGAGCAAACGGG